CACAAGCCUUCAUAGCCCUCUGGGGCUGGCAUUUCUGUGAAUUCUGUCAAGUUCAUUCCUGUUCCUCAGGCUCACCCCUUCACAAGUGCUUGCUUGCCCUGCAUGCCUGGAAUGACGGAAGGACAUCAGCUCUGCAGGAUAACUUUCCAGUGACUUUUUUCUAGAAUUUUCCUGGGCCAGUGUGAUAUCAUAUUUACGUUUGUACAACAUACCAUUAAAGGGGUAGACCCAGUUGGUGGAAGCCAGUCAGUCCAUCAUGUUUCCCUGGCCUCAGAACUGUUUCAUGGAAAACAAAAUCUUAUCCAAUCAGGAUGAAUAUGAGGCUUGGAGCAGCUGCAGUUGAGGGAAAGCCUGGAGCUCCCACAAGACCUGAAGCCAGACCCUGAGGCAGGAGCUAAGCCAAGGAAGUGUGGCUGGAGAAUGGAGCCUACUGAAGUCCAGCUGGUGAUGUGCUGAAGCUGGAACCUUUCCUGGCACUGGGGGGAAAUGCAGCUGCAGCCGCCUGGACUCGCUGCUCCCCAAGACUCGAUGCAGUCUGGCCCCCCGGCACAAUCUGGAGCUGAAGGUGAUUACCCUGGUUUGCCUGAGUCCAAACUUCCAAGGACAGGCGCUGAGAUGAAGGGCCGUGGGCGGAUUAUCAACAUCAAAGGUACCGUAAUCACACCACUGCAGGGUGCAGGAUGGACUGUAGGAGACCAAGCCUGGAAGACUGAACCUGAUGGGGUGGCUGCAGGGAGAAGCAAGGAGGUCCUGAAACAAGGUGAUGAGGAGAUAUGGAGAUACAGGAUUGACAGAGUACAGGACGAAGGGACAUCCUGUGACUCAGGUGUCAGGACAGAGGGACGCGACAAGAUAAUCAGAGGAGGCUUUGAGGGAAGUCUUCUGCAUGUGCACCCAGGGAGAUGUUUUCUCUGGGGGCCUUUAUUUUUCCUGUUGAAAUGUGAACCUUCGACUCUGAUCUGCCUUUUCAGUUAA
rnacentral:lncRNA from 1 species